rnacentral:lncRNA from 1 species
GACGAGGAGGACGAGGAUUUGUGCUCGGUAUAACCCGAGGUAGUUCGCGGUGGCUGCGGGUGAUCAAGGUGCGCGAGGAGGAGGACGAGGAUGACGAGGACUUGUACACUUUCUGUGCCCCACCUAGUGAUCCACU